UAUCGCAAUAUUCGUUUGAACAUAUUAAAUGUGCAGCGGAAAUGCAAUGUGAUCCAAUGUAAGUGCCCUGGUUUGUUUCGAAAUAUGAUAUGCAUAUUUCGUGUGGUCGCAAUAUUGUUGCGGUAACAAAAAAGGGAAAAUAUUUAAGUAGACCAGUUAAUUCUAAGUGUUUUGGGGUAGGUUGUUAACGUUGACGUCGGCAUUAUUUCUUUGUUGCAGUUCUUAUGAAUUGCAGUUGCAUUCAUAUCGGUCAUGCCGAUAGUGGUUGGCAUCGACGUCGACGUAACUCGCGCGAUCAGUAAUACAAAAACAAACAUACACAGGCAAUCGGACGAGCGAAACUCAAGAAGAAACAUAAAUCGCGCGCAAAAUCUUAAAUUGCCUAAACAAUAAAUUACACACAAAAACAAAACAAUCGGGCGCGAACAAAAAAUAGCUAAAAAAUAUUAAAAACCAAAAAUAGAAGGUGUACCUGAAAGCGGCUGCAAACCUUGAGGAGAUAAGGAGUGGUAAAAGGAAGAGGAACAAAACGCAGACGCCAUAAAGGUAAAAAAAACAAAGAGUGCAAUAAUAGAGGAUGCAAUUGGCUUAAUAUCAUAAUGAAAAAAAACGAGAAAUUUUGCAAUAAUGGAUAUGGCACUUUGAUUUAUCUUAGCUACACCCGUAGGCGCUUUUGUGCAACAAGGAAGAUCCCUUUUGAUGUGAGGAAAUUACGUUUAAGAAUUGUUUUUUUUCGAUUUCCGAAAUCUUUGUGCUGGAACCUCAUCCAACAACUGAAGCGGUAUGACCAACAACCUCGAUUCCCUUUGACCUUCGGUUCUCUAUUCUUUAAGCAAUGCGCAUGCCAGUGUUGCGUGGGAAAUGGAUAUUGGCUCUGAUGAGCUAAUUCAGCAUUUUCCGUAGCAUUGAACAAAUUUGUAAAUUUAUGGUGGACCGUAAACAUGCCGAAGAGCGGUUUCCUAAUUCUGUUGAUGAAUGCAAUAGGAUGGAUUAUAUUCGAAAUUUGGAAUUAAGGGUCUAAUUGGAGCAUGUCAUGUUGCCAUAAUUUCACCUGCUUUGUCAACCACAGUUGUGCUACAUGAUUACAUGAAUAGAAAAGGGUAUUAUAGCAUUAAUGUUGAAUGGUUAAGUAUUAUAUUUACUAAGUAAUUAAUAAAUAAUUUUUUCGAGAG